UCUACCGUUAUAACUGCCUCACCCACCCCCAAAACCGGUGACCAGGCUCCGGCAUGUGGGUCCACCUUCGGCUGCGCCUCUCAAGGAAAACUGCGCCAGGCCACCUCUCCCUGCUGCAGCUCCUCCUGCCCCCGGGCCGACCCUGCCUGCCCUGCUCGCAGCCCGCCUGGCUCCCCAGCACCCUCGGGGGGAGGGAGACAGACUCCUUAGUGUGGUGUUGGGGGUCUGGACUCCGGUUUCUCAAACGUCCUGAUGCCAAGUUCAGAUACUUCAUGGGACAUUCUGCACCCAGAUCCCCUCCCCGCCCAAGCCUCUGCCCCAGUGUCCCCUCUACCCAGAAUGCCUUUCUCCAUCACCACGGCCACCAUUCUGGUCUCCUAGACAACCCCCUCUCAGGCUCUGGUGGCUGAGCUCCCCUCUCUGUCUCAAAGGCCCCAGAAACGCAGAGGGAGGUGAAGCCAGGGUGUGGCUGAGGACCCAUGGCCAUGAACUUUCAAGAGAACGUAACACUGGCCAUCGCUGUGUUCACCAUCCUGGCCUCCAUCUACUUCUUCAACAAGGCUCAGCGAUGAGAAGAAACGGGACAGCUUAACCCAAGAGCCCCGCCUCUGGCCCACCAUGACUGUGGCCUCUGAGACCAAAUAAAUGUGACUCAAUCAGCA